UAUGUAGUAAAACUCGUAGUCGUGCAUGGAGGAAUACUAUCACUGCUGCUGCCUUUGUACAUGUCGUAGCUUUAAUAUGGCAGUCGAGGAACAAAAUACAAUUUCAGAAUAUGGCAUACGAUGAAGAUAGAACCACUAGAGAGAUUGCAUUACUUCUUCACAUUCGUGGGAGACAUAGUAGAAGCUGGCAGAUCGGUCUACGUCAACUCAACUGCUUUCCAUAAUUUUUUGUCGUUACUUGUGGGAACUCAAAUACAUAU
rnacentral:lncRNA from 1 species